AAAGGGUCCGUAGGCGGUUUGGUAAGUCAGUGGUGAAAGCCCAUCGCUUAACGAUGGAACGGCCAUUGAUACUGCCAGACUUGAAUUACUAGGAAGUAACUAGAAUAUGUAGUGUAGCGGUGAAAUGCUUAGAUAUUACAUGGAAUACCAAUUGCGAAGGCAGGUUACUACUAGUGGAUUGACGCUGAUGGACGAAAGCGUGGGGAGCGAACAGGAUUAGAUACCCUUGU
rnacentral:rRNA from 1 species